rnacentral:rRNA from 1 species
UCAGCAGCCCCGGUAAUACGUAGGCAGCAAGCGUUGUUCGGAGUUACUGGGCGUAAAGGGUGCGUAGGCGGCUAUUUAAGUUUGGUGUGAAAUCUCCCGGCUCAACCGGGAGGGUGCGCCGAAUACUGAGUGGCUAGAGUGCGGGAGAGGAAAGUGGAAUUCCUGGUGUAGCGGUGAAAUGCGUAGAUAUCAGGAGGAACACCGGUGGUGUAAACGGCUUUCUGGACCGUAACUGACGCUGAGGCACGAAAGCGUGGGUAGCAAACAGGAUUAGAUACCCUGGUAGUCCACGCCCUAAACGAUGCAUAUUUGGUGUGGGCCAUUCAUUUGGUCUGUGCCGGAGCUAACGCGUUAAAUAUGCCGCCUGGGGAGUACAGUCGCAAGGCUGAAACUCAAAGGAAUUGAC